UACGUAGGGUCCGAGCGUUGUCCGGAAUUAUUGGGCGUAAAGAGCUCGUAGGCGGUUUGUCGCGUCUGCUGUGAAAUCCCGAGGCUCAACCUCGGGUCUGCAGUGGGUACGGGCAGACUGGAGUGCGGUAGGGGAGAAUGGAAUUCCUGGUGUAGCGGUGGAAUGCGCAGAUAUCAGGAGGAACACCGAUGGCGAAGGCGGGUCUCUGGGCAUUCCCUGACGCUGAGGCGCGAAAGCGUGGGGAGCAAACGGG
rnacentral:rRNA from 1 species